rnacentral:rRNA from 1 species
GACGAACGCUGGCGGCGUGCUUAACACAUGCAAGUCGAACGGAAAGGCCCCCUUGUGGGGUACUCGAGUGGCGAACGGGUGAGUAACACGUGAGUAACCUACCCUUGACUUUGGGAUAACUUCAGGAAACUGGGGCUAAUACCGGAUAGGAGCUCCUGCUGCAUGGUGGGGGUUGGAAAGUUUCGGCGGUUGGGGAUGGACUCGCGGCUUAUCAGCUUGUUGGUGGGGUAGUGGCUCACCAAGGCUUUGACGGGUAGCCGGCCUGAGAGGGUGACCGGCCACAUUGGGACUGAGAUACGGCCCAGACUCCUGCGGGAGGCAGCAGUGGGGAAUAUUGCACAAUGGGCGGAAGCCUGAUGCAGCAACGCCGCGUGCGGGAUGACGGCCUUCGGGUUGUAAACCGCUUUCGCCUGUGACGAAGCGUGAGUGACGGUAAUGGGUAAAGAAGCACCGGCUAACUACGUG